GGAAACUUGGAAACUACCGUUGGAUCGAGAAAUGGACGUCCGAGAUUCGUCCACGUCACCAUGAGUUAAAAUUUAACUCGCAGAUUCACUCAUGAGUUAAAAUUUUACUAGGAGUUAAAUUUUAACUUAUGGUGACGUGGAUGAAUCUUGGACGUCUAUUUCUCGAUCCAACAGUAGUUUCCAAGUUUCC
rnacentral:pre_miRNA from 18 species